CCUGCCACAGCUUCGGGACGACUGGAUCGCCGCGCCUGGGCCGGAGCGAGCCAUCUGCGGGCACUAUGCAAAGCGGGAGACGGCGCGAGCGGCGCCCGGCUCACACUAGCUCUUCCAGGACGCAGAGAGAACCAUUCUCUGCUUUCAAUAGGACAGAAGAGCUCCUUGGCACUGGAUGCCUCCGGGUCUGGUUGAGAGAGGAAUGGUUAGGAGACUGUUCUGAGGAUACGCAGACAUCAUCCAAAGCUUCCUACAUUCAGAUGAGGACAGAGGUUGGGCCAGAGCUUUGUAAGCUUGUUACCUAAGGAUGGUUCUGACCAUGUAAGCAGAUCACAGAAGUUCCUGAGCCAAUACUUGUCAAACCUGGUACUG
rnacentral:lncRNA from 10 species